CCUACGGGAGGCAGCAGUGAGGAAUAUUGGUCAAUGGUCGGGAGACUGAACCAGCCAAGCCGCGUGAGGGAGGAAGGUACAGAGUAUCGUAAACCUCUUUUGUCAGGGAACAAAGGCGGGGCCGUGUCCCCGGAUGAGUGUACCUGAAGAAAAAGCAUCGGCUAACUCCGUACCCGCAGCCGCGGUAAUACGGAGGAUGCGGGCUUUAUCCGGAUUUAUUGGGUUUAAAGGGUGCGCGGGCGGUCUGUUAAGUCAUCGGUCAAAGCCCGGGGCUCAACCCCGGCCCGCCGUUGAAACUGGCAGUCUUGAGUUGGAGAGAAGUAUGCGGAAUGCGCGGUGUAGCGGUGAAAUGCAUAGAUAUCGCGCAGAACUCCGAUUGCGAAGGCAGCAUGCCGGCUCCACACUGACGCUGAGGCACGAAAGCGUGGGUAUCGAACAGGAUUAGAUACCCCUGUAGUC
rnacentral:rRNA from 1 species